CUACUACAUVCAAGGAAGGCAKCADGCGCACAAAUUACCCAAUCCCGACACRGGGAGGUAGUGACAAUAAAUACUGAUACASGSCUCUUUUSGGUCUUGUAAUCGGAAUGAGUACAAUUUAAAUCCCUUAACSAGGAACAAUUGGAGGGCAAGUCUGGUGCCAACAGCCGCGGUAAUUCCAGCUCCAAUAGCGUAUAUUAAAGUUGUUGUGGYUAAAAAGCUCGUAGUUGAACCUUGGGCCUGGCUGGCCGGUCCGCCUCACCGCGUGCACUGGUCCGGCCGGGCCUUUCCCUCUGCGGAACCCCAUGCCCUUCACUGGGUGUGGCGGGGAAACAGGACUUUUACUUUGAAAAAAUUAGAGUGCUCAAGGCAGGCCUAUGCUCGAAUACAUUAGCAUGGAAUAAUAGAAUAGGACGUGUGGUUCUAUUUUGUUGGUUUCUAGGACCGCCGUAAUGAUUAAUAGGGACAGUCGGGGGCAUCAGUAUUCAAUUGUCAGAGGUGAAAUUCUUGGAUUUAUUGAAGACUAACUACUGCGAAAGCAUUUGCCAAGGAUGUUUUCAUUAAUCAGGA
rnacentral:rRNA from 1 species